CCAGAAGAGACCCUAACCGGUCCUCUCAACCCUGCCCAUCGUACCCUUUGUGUUGUUCCCCUCGGCGAGGCUUUUCAAGCCCGCCGGCGGGAAGAUCAACGAAACUCUUUGCAAGCAAGCAUUCCUGAAACCUCUGAUCGAAUACAAAUUGUCA
rnacentral:misc_RNA from 1 species